GGGGUUAUAGCUCAGUGGUAGAGCACAUGCCUUUCAUACAUGAGGCAUGGGGUUCAAUUGUCAGCACCA
rnacentral:tRNA from 1 species